rnacentral:tRNA from 1 species
ACCUGGGUGGCUCAGUCAGUAGAGCAUGUGACUCCUGAUCUCAAGGUUGUGAGUCUGAGCCCCACAUUGGGUG